GCUUAGCCCCGAUGGCAGUGGUAUCCUUACUGGGCGGGGUUCGCACAGUAAGAUAUAACGAACAGCGGGACGACUG
rnacentral:sRNA from 2 species